UACGGGGGGAGCAAGCGUUGUUCGGAUUUACUGGGCGUAAAGGGCGCGUAGGCGGUCAGUGCAAGUCAGUUGUGAAAUCUCCGGGCUUAACUCGGAAAGGUCAACUGAUACUGCUCGACUAGAGUGCGGAAGGGGCAACUGGAAUUCUUGGUGUAGCGGUGAAAUGCGUAGAUAUCAAGAGGAACACCUGCGGCGAAGGCGGGUUGCUGGGCCGACACUGACGCUGAUGCGCGAAAGCGUGGGGAGCGAACAGG
rnacentral:rRNA from 1 species